UACGGAGGGGGCUAGCGUUGUUCGGAAUUACUGGGCGUAAAGGGCGCGCAGGCGGUUCGUUGCGUCAGGCGUGAAAGCCCUGGGCUUAACCCGGGAGGUGCGCUUGAAACGGGCGGGCUCGAGACCGGGAGAGGAGAGUGGAAUUCCCAGUGUAGAGGUGAAAUUCGUAGAUAUUGGGAAGAACACCGGUGGCGAAGGCGGCUCUCUGGCCCGGUUCUGACGCUGAGGCGCGAAAGCGUGGGGAGCAAACAGG
rnacentral:rRNA from 1 species